CAGGUUUUUUUCUUCUUCUAGAAAUGACUAUAAUGUGACUAUUGCAUUGGAUAGAGUUUUCCAAUGGCAUUGUUUUCUACCUAUCUGACCUAUGUUGAGUUUCGCCAAGACUUGACGGGACCAUCACAUCUUUUGACCACCCCAAAGUCUCACUCGUUGCGCCAACACAGCAGAGAGUUCGUGAGGAGGGGCCUAUAUCCCUGAUCAGCGGCUUAUCCUUUCGUCCACCACAACACUAACUCACACAGUAACUGAUGACAAUCCUUUCCAACUAAUGCUCACUGAAUUUAUCCUCAGCGCUUCUGUUGACACAGCAUGGCACCAGGGACGGAUCCAGUGAUCCACUAACUUUUCCUAUCAGAGAUCUAGACGGACCUGAAAAUAGCACCUCCUGUAGUUCCCGCCUAAACAGUAUCGAAAGAUUGAUCUAGAAGCUUUGACAGAGUUUUAGCUCUUUAUGUCUGCCACAUUGACUUUCUGAUGAAUAAAGGAAAAAAUCGUAGGUGAUAAGGUGACGUUUGCAGAGCGGCGUCUAUUAAAUAUCAUACCUUUAUGUUUGAAGCUGAGACCGGCGAUAUUCCCAAGUAAUACGGCAGAUGAAGACACAAGUUUUAGUAAGGGAGGGCUCCUGCAGAGAUCAAUUCACGGACGCUAAU